GCGUCUCACGAAGAGAGGGGCGGGGUCGCGCGGUGCUGGCCCCGCCCACUCAACGGCGUGCGCACACGUGGCUCUAGUGGGGGUGGGGGGAGACGGAGUCAGGUUUGCGCGCUGUAUUUCCGCUUUCCCGCCUCGCCCCGUCCCGCCCCGAUUGCAAGCCACAAAUUGAGCAAGGGUUGCGUGCUUGGGUCAUUCACACGAAAUGUGUUCUGCUGGAGGGAAGGAUGGAAAAUUCAAGACUUAAGUUAACUCAAAUAAGGAUAUUCCAUGUCAGGGAAACCUAAGGAUGGCAGACUGGCCUGACCCCUAGGUCUCCAUUCCCCACCCACAAGCGACCUAAAUCCCGCUACCACCGGACUGUUGCAAUUCCCCGGGGAUCCGCCUCUGGGCGGAGCUGACGGGUGCAGACUUCAAGAGAAAAAGCAAAGGAAGCGGAGUCGUGAUCCGGUUCCACUUUUUGUCUUCGUUCCUCCCCCCGCAGUGCGUUCGCAUCCUAUUAGGCUACGUCACCGGGCCGCGGGCCAAUAGGCGGGCAGGACAACACGGCAUGGAGCAGCUCCACAUGGACACCCCGCACCGCCAGCCUUCUGUUUAAAGGGCCAGUGUCUGCAGGGUCACAUCAGCGGGUGCGGAUGGGCCACUGGGUAAACACAGGGAGUGUCUGAUAUGGGUGGAGACUCUGAGUGUACCACCCCAGAGACCACCCUUUGCUCAGUGGCCUGGUCAGCGGAGUCAAGGCGAAACGUCCAGAGUCCAGGCCAAGGGGGCGUGGCUCAAAUCGGGAACAACAACGUGGAGGGCGGAAGCCCGGCGCUGGGCGACCCAGAUCCCUGGGUGGGCGCUGGGCUCUUGGGGCGGGGUAGCUGCCUUGGGUUUUAACUGCGCUCUCUGGGGGGCGGGGCCGCCCGCCCGCCUCUCCCUGAUGGAGUGCUUAGGGAGCCUGGGUUACAGGGCUACAAUCAGAAAGACCUUUGAGGCUAACUUGCCCAAAUGUUCUCAUUUUACAAAUAAGGAAACAAACUCAGAAAA